CCUACGGGAGGCAGCAGUGAGGAAUAUUGGUCAAUGGACGCAAGUCUGAACCAGCCAAGCCGCGUGCAGGAAGACGGCGCUAUGAGUUGUAAACUGCUUUUGUACGAGGGUAAACGCAGCCACGUGUAUCUGUCUGCAAGUAUCGUACGAAUAAUGAUCGGCUAACUCCGUGCCAGCAGCCGCGGUAAUACGGAGGAUUCAAGCGUUAUCCGGAUUUGUUGGGUUUAAAGGGUGCGUAGGCGGUCUGUUAAGUUAGCGGUGAAAUUCCGGGGCUCAACCUCGGCAUUGCCUCUGACACUGGUCGGAUUGAGGGUAGUAGAGGUAGGCGGAAUGCGUGGUGUAGCGGUGAAAUGCUUAGAGAUCAUGCAGAACACCGAUUGCGAAGGCAGCUUACCGGGGUACUACUGACGUUGAGGCACGAAAGCGUGGGGAGCAAACAGGAUUAGAUACCCCAGUAGUC
rnacentral:rRNA from 1 species